ensembl:lncRNA
GCCACUACAGUGACAAUGCCAGAUCCCUAACUUGCUGCGCCGCAAGAGAACUCCUUCAGUGGCCUCUUGGAAUGUCUAGUUGACAAAUCAACAGGUUGAUUUAUGUGCCCCCCGUUCCCCAGGAAAAAAAAUCCAGUUCAAUUGCCCGUGUAUGAUCUCCUUUAUCUUCACAGUGGCUCUGAUAAGUGCUGUGACAGAGACACCCCCCACCCCCGUAGUCUCUUCUCUCUUAAUAAUACUCCCCCCCCCAGCCAGCAUUCUCUGGUGGUGCAGUGGAGUAGGAUUCCAGCAUUGUCACUGCAGAGGCUUGGGUUGCUGCUGUAGUGUGGGUUCGAUCCCUGGCCUGGGAACACCCACAUCCCAUGGGUGCAGGGAAAAAAAAAAAUUGAAAAUAGUGGAGUUCCAACUAGUAUCCAUGAGGAUGCAGGUUCAAUCCCUGGCCUCAAUGAGUGGGUUAAGGAUCCGUGCAUCUUCUCUCUUUCUCUCCCGCUGGCUGGAGUGCUGCACAUGACGGGUCUCUUGGACCACAUGGUGAGUGUGGGCACCGCAGAGCAAUAAGACAGAAGAGCCUGGAGCCUAACAGCAGGGUGAACCACGCCAGCCCCAGACUGGCUGUCUCCCAGCAGAACAAACUCCCGUUUCCUAAAACCACAGCGACGGGGGUUCUCGGAUACACACGAAGCUAAUCCUAAAAAAAUGCAGAUGUGAAUUGUGAACUCUCAUUCUCUAGAUAAGGAAACUGAAACGCAAAGAGAUCAAGUGGCUGCCCAGCUGGUAAACAGCUGAACCUGGAGUGGGGAAUCCAGCACAACGGCCCCAGUGCCACAGCCAUGCCUGCCCACCCUCCACCCAACCCGGAGAGAAAGUGUGGCGUGGGUAACUCUCUUCUUCCCACUCUGGAUUUAGUCCCUGUCUGAUCUCCAGAGAUGGUCUUAUCUCAGUUUUAUUUUUGCCGCAAUUGUGUACUAACUGAACCCAAGAAACCGCGACUGGGGUAGGGCAGGGUUGAGGUGGAAACGAGUUGCUCCUUCAAAGGAUUUAAGAGUACUAGAAACGUCUAUCAACGCGAUUUGCUCAUAAACUUAAGAACCACCCAUCAUUUCAAAAACCCAAGUGCAAACACCACUGAUUCUACUUCCCUCCUUCCUCAAACACAGCCCCAACCCCUUGGGCAACAAGGGCAGCCACUUUUUCUAUCCUUAAACAAAGUAGCAGAUAUCCCAUUUCACCCUGAAAAAGACAAUAAAGAGACCUGGUUUUUAUUUGUUUGUGGGAAGUUCAAGGAGUUGGGGGGGCAGGGGGGACUGGCAGUGCCAGCUGCUCCCAACCCAAUUAGAGUAAAUCUUUGGACUGGGUGUUGUAAACUGCCAGGUGGGGUUACGUCAGCCAGGUGGGAGCUGCGAGGGAACUGGAGACAAAGCACAGCCCCACCUAAAGGUGUCCUCAGAGAGUUGGCAUGGGAGAAUCCAGGCCCGGAUCUGCUGCUGAUUUCAUAAAAGUCAGGAAACCAGAAAUUUUUUUUUUUUUUUUUUUUUUUUUUUUUGGCUUUUUAGGGCCGCACCUGUGGCGUAUAAAGGUUCCCAGGCCAGGGGUCUAACUGGAGCUACAGCUGCUGGCCUACACAACAGCCACAGCAAUGCCAGAUCCAAGCCGUGUCUGUGACCUACCUGCACCACAGCUCAUGGCA